AGUGAACGCUGGCGGUAGGCCUAACACAUGCAAGUCGAACGGCAGCACAGGAGAGCUUGCUCUCUGGGUGGCGAGUGGCGGCCGGGUGAGGAAUACAUCGGAAUCUACUUUUUCGUGGGGGAUAACGUAGGGAAACUUACGCUAAUACCGCAUACGACCUACGGGUGAAAGCAGGGGACCUUCGGGCCUUGCGCGAUUGAAUGAGCCGAUGUCGGAUUAGCUAGUUGGCGGGGUGAAGGCCCACCAAGGCGACGAUCCGUAGCUGGUCUGAGAGGAUGAUCAGCCACACUGGAACUGAGACACGGUCCAGACUCCUACGGGAGGCAGCAGUGGGGAAUAUUGGACAAUGGGCGCAAGCCUGAUCCAGCCAUACCGCGUGGGUGAAGAAGGCCUUCGGGUUGUAAAGCCCUUUUGUUGGGAAAGAAAUCCAGCCCGCUAAUACCUGGUUGGGAUGACGGUACCCAAAGAAUAAGCACCGGCUAACUUCGUGCCAGCAGCCGCGGUAA
rnacentral:rRNA from 1 species